GAUUGGUCCUCAGGUAGUGAGUUAUCUCCAUUGUUUAGUCAGUUACAGAUUGAACUUCUUUUUUCUACUCUUCCCUGCUUUUCACUGCUGCACUUGAUUAGUUUUUA
rnacentral:Y_RNA from 2 species